rnacentral:lncRNA from 1 species
GCAAUCACGGACUCGGCUUGCGGCUGCCGGUUUAAAAAAGGAAACCCCGGAGAGCGAGAGCGCGAAGGAAAUCUGGCCGCCGCCGCCGCGAGCGCUCCCGAAUUCUGAGACUUAUGGUUGGUCAUAUAGAAGAGUACCUUGAACCUAUAGUUUCCUGAAGAAUCAGUUUAAAAGAUCCAAGGAGUACAAAAGGCAGUUAUUGGAGGAAUUACUCAACAAAAAUAAAGAAGUAAACUAAAAAAGAUGAAGGCAUAGGAUACAAGUAACAGGGAAUAUGACCUAACUAGAGACCCAGGGAAUCACCAGGAUGAUGAUGAAUAAUGAUCACAAGAAGACAGCUUGUCCUCAGGAGAAGUACAAAUGUCUACUACAAGACGAAAACGUAGUAUGUUAUGUUGUUUACCGUAAGCUGUAGUAAAAUGAGCUCGAUUGUUGACAGAGAUGACAGUAGUAUUUUUGAUGGGUUGGUGGAAGAAGAUGACAAGGACAAAGCGAAAAGAGUAUCUAGAAACAAAUCUGAAAAGAAACGUAGAGAUCAAUUUAAUGUUCUCAUUAAAGAACUGGGAUCCAUGCUUCCUGGUAAUGCUAGAAAGAUGGACAAAUCUACUGUUCUGCA